rnacentral:misc_RNA from 1 species
GUGCGUUGCGUGCCAGUUUUCGCCAUUUUAAGCGCCUUGUUUCGUAGUACUUCUGUCAAGUAGUUGAUUUUGUUUACGUGAUCGUGUUUUGCGGAUAAAUUACGAGGAUUUGAUUUACUAAAUCUAAGUUGAAUUUGAAAAAAGUGUAAUUCAACAUGCCCGCGUGUUCUAUUGUGCAGUGUGGUGCCAAAAAAGGCAAAAAACAACCCCAUUUGACACUUCAUAGGAAAAUAACUCAAAUGACACGAUAAACGAUUGUGAAGAAGAUCCUGAGCAAGAUGGUCCGCAGCAGAAUGACGGCUGCCUAAAAGCUGAAAGACCGGAUACUCCUGAACCUGAACCUUCUACAUUUACAAACAAGGUCGACGAAGCAGUCAAUGAUUCAGUAAAUGAUAUUCCACCUGACGCGUUAACGGAUCGCAAAAAACCAGAUGAAGACGAGUACGAUCUUUUUGGCCGUUCAUUGGCGAUCCAGCUUAGAAAACUGCCUGAACUUGACGCACUAGAUUUGAUGCAUAAGGUGCAGUUAAUGGUAAUCUCUAAGAAGAAACAGAUACAACAAGCAGCAAGCCGGAAGCGCACAAUUCAUGCACAAAAGACUGUUAUUUCCAAGAGGUCACUGCGUUCUUCAUCCCCCAUGCACGUUCUAUCGCGUUCACCUUCGCCGAGUACGAGUCCAGAAACCGAGGUGUUUGCACAAUUUGCCAACACCAAUUCGUGUUUAGAAGAUCCUUUGACGCCUGGUCAAAUUCGUGUCAAAAAAGAAAACAUGAAUUAGUUGUGCGUCUUUUCAUCAAUCAUACCUAUUCGGCCAGUCAUCUAAGAAUGGUAUAGGUACAGUACGGUCACGAGCAUUAAUAUGUAUACACUUUGGUACCAUGUCACAUUAACUUUCUUAACAAAUUGAACUGUACGUCUCACUAAAUGUCAAAUAUGUUAGUGCGUGAGUCCUAAAGUGGGUACAUUAUCGUUUGAGAACUUUUCCAAUUAGUCCCGCGCCCGCGGAACGGGUUACGUGCCUCGUGCAACGCGAAUUAUAUCAAGGCCUACGACCAAUAGCUGCACGACGUCAUCCAUCUAGAUAACCAGACUACAGAAUAGUAGGUAUUCUACGUCUAUUGCUCAAAUUCCUUGAUGUAUUUCGUGUCGCGCCGCUGAACCCGUGCCGCCCGCGCUGUAAAUAUUAUGCGUCUGUGAUUAUGUUUAUCUAGGUAGACAAGACUUGUAGUUACAAGAAGUAUGUAUUUCCUAUUCGUUUCGCCAUUAUGUUGAAAAUUCUAUGUAUGUUCAUUGUAAAUUCACAAGAUCAUAAUACUUAUUUAGUUAACGAAUAUCUUACGUUGAAGUACAUAAGUAGUACCUAUAUCUAAACUUCAAUAAAAGUUUUUAUGUGAGUACCUAA